GAAAUACUUAUAAUGUUCAUUGUGAUGGCAUCAUAGAAUCAUAGAGUUGGAACUUCCAACCCCCUACCAUGUAGGAAUACACAAAGCAGAACACCCCUACAGAUAGCCAUCCAAUCUCUGUUUCAAAAACCCCUGAAAAGAACAGUCCACCAUACUCCAAGAGAACAUACUUCACUGACAAACAGCUAUUACUGCGGGUUUUCAUACCGGGAUGGCUCUUCCCAUUGUUUGCUCCUGAAGGUACAGAAAGAAACAGAUGAAAACAAAUCUGUGCACAAGUCUAAGGACUACUCAAAUGACUGUAACUAAUAUGCCUUCUUUAUAUGUUUGAAAUGUUUGCAACUGGAAAUGGCUUCACUGUGGUUUUCAAAUAUAAAAACAAUAUCAAUUAAUAAAACCCACCAUUUACAA